GGAUAGCUCAGUCGGUAGAGCAUGAGACUCGAUCUCAGGGCUACGGGUUAGAGCCCCACGUUGGGCA